rnacentral:tRNA from 1 species
AUUCUUAAAGUAAUCUCUACACUUUAACUUCGAAUUAAAUUAUUGGUUUAACUUUUUAAACCUAAGAAUA